GAUGAACGCUGGCGGCGUGCUUAACACAUGCAAGUCGAACGAAGCACUUAACUUGAUUUCUUCGGAUUGAUUGUUCUGUGACUGAGUGGCGGACGGGUGAGUAACGCGUGGGUAACCUGCCUCAUACAGGGGGAUAACAGUUAGAAAUGACUGCUAAUACCGCAUAAGCGCACGGUAUCGCAUGAUACAGUGUGAAAAGCCGAGACGGUAUGAGAUGGACCCGCGUCUGAUUAGGUAGUUGGUGAGGUAACGGCCCACCAAGCCGACGAUCAGUAGCCGGUCUGAGAGGAUGAACGGCCACAUUGGGACUGAGAUACGGCCCAG
rnacentral:rRNA from 1 species